rnacentral:rRNA from 1 species
UACUACCCGUCAGUGGGACAUCAUAGAGGGUGACAAUCCCGUCUUUGGUGCUGAUGUUCGAGUCCUUUACGAUGCCUAUCUCAGGAGAGUCGAGUAGUUUGGGAUUUGCUGCUUGAACAUGGGAGGUAGACACCUUCUAAAGCUAAAUAUUGGCAAGAGACCGAUAGUGGACAAGUACCGCAAGGGAAAGAUGAAAUAGCACUCUGUAAAGGGAGUCAAAAGGCGUGAAAUUGUUGCGAGAGAAGCGAUUCAAGUCAGCUUGACUAGGCCCAUGAUGACAUCCGUCCUCUGGACUAGUCUCGCCAGCGGUCUCAUCUUUAGGUUUGACUAAGGUGCGGUAUAUCCUCAACGCACGGCUGGUGGAAUGGCUUGCAAUCGACCCGUCUUGAAACACGGACCAAGGAGUCUAACAUGCAUGCAAGUAUAAGGGUGACAAACCCGUAUGCGCAAUGAAAGUGACUUUCAGUGAUUGUUGUGUGGCUUGACGACCAGACAGGAAAUAUCAUGUCCCUCGGAUGGCCACUGCCCAAGUUCUGUGGUCGAACCCAUGAACAUGGAGACGGAGCAUGCAUGCUAGGACCCGAAAGAUGGUGAACUAUGCCUGGACAGAGCGAAGCCAAAGGAAACUCUGGUGGAGGCUCGUAGCGAUUCUGACGUGCAAAUCGAUCGUCUGAUCUGGGUAUAGGGGCGAAAGACUAAUC